GCGGACGGAUGGGAGCUUGCUCCCUGAAGUCAGCGGCGGACGGGUGAGUAACACGUGGGCAACCUGCCUGUAAGACUGGGAUAACUUCGGGAAACCGGAGCUAAUACCGGAUAAUGCAUAACCUCUCAUGAGGUUAUGCUGAAAGAUGGUUUCGGCUAUCACUUACAGAUGGGCCCGCGGCGCAUUAGCUAGUUGGUGAGGUAACGGCUCACCAAGGCAACGAUGCGUAGCCGACCUGAGAGGGUGAUCGGCCACACUGGGACUGAGACACGGCCCAGACUCCUACGGGAGGCAGCAGUAGGGAAUCUUCCGCAAUGGACGAAAGUCUGACGGAGCAACGCCGCGUGAGUGAUGAAGGUUUUCGGAUCGUAAAACUCUGUUGUUAGGGAAGAACAAGUGCCGGAGUAACUGCCGGCACCUUGACGGUACCUAACCAGAAAGCCACGGCUAACUACGUGCCAGCAGCCGCGGUAAUACGUAGGUGGCAAGCGUUGUCCGGAAUUAUUGGGCGUAAAGCGCGCGCAGGCGGUCUCUUAAGUCUGAUGUGAAAGCCCACGGCUCAACCGUGGAGGGUCAUUGGAAACUGGGGGACUUGAGUGCAGAAGAGGAAAGUGGAAUUCCACGUGUAGCGGUGAAAUGCGUAGAGAUGUGGAGGAACACCAGUGGCGAAAGCGACUUUCUGGUCUGUAACUGACGCUGAGGCGCGAAAGCGUGGGGAGCAAAC
rnacentral:rRNA from 1 species